AACAUUGGUGCUCACGUACCAUGCUGUGAAUGGAUCGGGUCCAGCUUACAUCCCGGACAUGGUCAAACCCUAACUUCCAAACCCGAAUCUCCGCUCUGCAUCUGCCAAAAUACUCGUCCCUCCCUCACUGAGAGCAAAACACUCGACUAGGUCUCGACUCUUCGCUGUCCUUGCGCCGAAAUGGUGGAACGAGCUCUCUGAAGACAUCAGGACCGCAGAGAGCCUUCACAUCUUCCGCCGCAAACUAAAGACACACCUCUUCAGACUCUACCUCGACUAAAGACUAACAAAUUGUAGCACUUAAAUUGUACUUGUAACGUCACUCAUCUAUAGCAAAUUGUAAAUUGGCUUAUUUGAGGAAAUUGCACUUUCUUGUUUCUUGUUCUCCUGAGUUUGUACCCUAUGGUUGAAUGCACUUAUUGUACGUCGCUUUGGAUAAAAGCGUCAGCUAAAUGACAUGUAAUGUAAUGUAAUAUAUGGAUCAAAGUGAACGAGAAUGAGUGUUUAUUUUAGACACUGUUGUUUAAUUGUACACAUAUGUGAUCAUCAAGGAGGUGGAACACGUUGAACUAGCCACUCUUCCUGCUGUCAUCGUGGACUCUGCUCUCAACUCGCCAUCAUUUAACGGCUGUGUUUGAAGUGCCAACAUCUCCCAACAUUUAGCCUGGAUGUUUUCAAACCACUUUCUUUUAGGGACACAGUGGUGGUCCUCUGCAGGUAGAUAUUGAGAUGGAAGUAGCCUAGCAGCUACCACCAUGUUCCAGGCACUGUCAGUGUGUGAAGUGGUCCGUUUGCCACUCAUCGCCCUUCUGUUUGACACUUGGAGGAAUUCCUCUGCACAGUUCUCCACUGUAUGUCACGCUGCUGCUUGUUUGACUUCUGUGGCAGAAAUUUGUGGAUUUAGCCCAUGUGAGAAAUCAAGAGUAUCUUGAGCUUGCUUUGUGAUUAAGUAUUUAUUACUAACUAGAAUAUAGAAAAAAGAUAAAGAAUACAGAAAUCAUCAGCACAAGUCAUAAGCACAGACAGAAGUCAAAUGACUACAAUUCAGCUGAAAAGGGACAGAUGUUCCUUCCCCCAAAAGGAGCAGGAAGAUCUGACCAAGUUAAAGAGAAGAACAGGAGGUUUUAUACACUUAGGGGGGUUUGUGCUGCCUCAGGACAGGACAGCCCACCCCUCAAGAGGAGUGUUGGAAAAGUAGCAGAUGAUGUAGGGGUGACCCAGUGACCCUCCCUUUAUGGACCCAGACAAUCAACAACAUCUAAAAGGUCAGUCAGGGCACGUAUGAUUUCAUCUGUGUCUUAUCUCACCCUGGACUGCCUUAAGUCACCGGCUCACAUCAACGGUCACAUUCCUGAGAGCUUCACCCUAUGCAGGCUCACCAAUUCUCCCCCAACAACUUCAUAUGCAAAAAGCUCUCUCCAUCUUGAUCCACCGUCUCGGUCUCAUUUAUUUACAAAUGCCAUUUUAAAUUCAUCUCAUAGCACUUGGUUGUUUUUUAGCUGAAUGCAUUUACUUAACUUGCACUACAAUGAUGGUAAUAAUUUAAUGAAUAUGCUUCAAGUGAACAUGAGGGUGUGUUCGUGAGUGUAGUAUAGAGAACUAGUUCUGACGAAUUUGAGGUUUUGUUUUAAAAAAAAGGGUUGGAAAUUAAAGCUUUUUAAAAUCCGAUUCAUUGAUUAAUCGAAGAAAUAAUCGAUUAUCAAAAUAAUUGUUAGUUGCAGCCCUAAUGUAGACAAUCAUCUUUGGCACCACAAGAUUCUAAACAUCUUGAUUAUCAGAUGACCCAGAACAUAAUGUACCUCUGAGUAAAAGAGCACAGACUUUCUGUUGUACUAACGUGUAACAUUAUUGCAGUUUUUCCAACAAAUGCCAUCUGAAAUUGAACAGAAGUUGGCUCGUGACCGACAUUUUACAGGAUGUUGGCUCAUGUAUGACUUUUUGACAGAAAUGAUCUCUAUCUACCUGAAGUGGAAUAACUAUGCACCAUUUCCUUUUAAAUGGUUCAUAGUUGAAAUUCAACAGAAGUUGGCUCGUGAAUGACCUUUUAAAGGAAGUUGGCUCAUGUAUGAAAUUCUGACAGGCUGUUGGAGCCUCUCUGAGUACAGUCGUUCGGUCUCUGAUGGCCUUGCCAAACCUGUAUUUCACGCACUGGCUGCCAAACACCAGCAUGUCGACGCUCAAAGCCCCACUGUGAGCUGACACGUGUGCACAAGGACGCCUCACAGAGCCCCUUAAAGGCUGGCGCAUGCGUCUGCGUCGUUUUGUCGACGCACUUGUUUCAAUUCAUGGUUCUUAAAGUCUUGCGUGUGUUGCAGAGCAAUUCACCGCCAGCACAACAG
ensembl:lncRNA